UACAGAGGGUGCGAGCGUUGUCCGGAAUCACUGGGCGUAAAGGGCGCGUAGGUGGUGGCUUAAGCGUGCGGUGAAAGCUCGGAGCUCAACUCCGAGUCGGCCGUGCGAACUGGGCUCACUGGAGCAUAGUAGAGGCAGGUGGAAUUCCGGGUGUAGCGGUGGAAUGCGUAGAGAUCCGGAAGAACACCGGUGGCGAAGGCGGCCUGCUGGGCUAUGGGCUGACACUGAGGCGCGGACAGCGUGGGGAGCAAACAGGG
rnacentral:rRNA from 1 species